GACGACCGCUCGCGGCGAGCUUAACACAUGCCAGUCGAACGGAAAGGCCCUGCUUUUGUGGGGUGCUCGAGUGGCGAACGGGUGAGUAACACUUGUGUAACCUGCCCUUGACUUUGGGAUAACUUCAGGAAACUGGGUCUACUACCGGAUCCGACCUCCUGCUGCAUGGUGGGGGUUGGAAAGUUUCGGCGGUUGGGGAUGGACUAGCGGUUUAUCAGCUUGUUGGUGGGGUAGUGGCUUACCAAUGCUCUGACGGGUAUCCGGCGUGAGAGGGUGACCGUCCAUAUUGCGACUGAGAUACGGACGCAGCUCCUACGGGAGGCAGCAGUGGGGAAUAUUGCACAAGGAGCGAAAGCCUGAUGCAGCAACGCUGCGUGCGGGAUGACGGCCUUCGGGUUGUAAACCGCUUUCGCCUGGGACGAAGCGUGAGUGACGGUAAUGGGUAAAGAAGAACCAACUAACUACGUG
rnacentral:rRNA from 1 species